CACGUAGGGGGCAAGCGUUGUCCGGAUUUAUUGGGCGUAAAGAGCUCGUAGGCGGUUCGGUAAGUCGGGUGUGAAACCUCCAGGCUCAACCUGGAGACGCCACCCGAUACUGCUGUGACUUGAGUCCGGUAGGGGAGCGUGGAAUUCCUGGUGUAGCGGUGAAAUGCGCAGAUAUCAGGAGGAACACCAGCGGCGAAAGCGGCUCACUGGACCAUAACUGACGCUGAUGCACGAAAGCUAGGGGAGCAAACAGG
rnacentral:rRNA from 1 species